rnacentral:rRNA from 1 species
GUCGCAAGACGAUGUAUAGGAGCUGACGCCUGCCCGGUGCUGGAAGGUUAAGGGGAUCUGUUAGAGCAAUCGAAGCAGUGAACUUAAGCCCCAGUAAACGGCGGCCGUAACUAUACCGGGCCUAAGGUAGCGAAAUUCCUUGUCGGGUAAGUUCCGACCCGCACGAAAGGCGUAACGAUUUGUGCACUGCCUCAACAACAGUCUCGGUGAAAUUGUAAUACCUGUGAAGAUUCCGGAUACCUUCGACAGGACGGAAAGACCCCAUGGAGCUUUACUGUAGCUUGACAUUGGGUCUUGGUACUACAUGUACAGGAUAGGUGGGAGGCUUUGAAACCAGGACGCCAGUUUUGGCGGAGCCAUCCUUGGGAUACCACCCUUGUAGUACUGGGACUCUAACCAUAGGCCAUGAAUCUGGUCUUGGGACACUGUCAGGUGGGCAGUUUGACUGGGGCGGUCGCCUCCCAAAAGGUAACGGAGGCGCUCAAAGGUUCUCUCAGUACGGUCGGAAAUCGUACGUAGAGUGUAAAGGC